GUCUGUAAGAGGACGAAAAGAGGGUCCAAGUGUGUGGUCAUGGAAACAUGGAGGCAAGUUAAAAAUCAUGGCUCUAGAAAUAGAGGUUGUGAUGUGUUUCCCUUUUUCCCGAUGCCUUCCAUGCCUAUUGUUCUCAGGUGCACCUUCCUCUUCCUUUGGAUA
rnacentral:pre_miRNA from 1 species